ACGGGAGGCAGCAGUGGGGAAUAUUGCGCAAUGGGGGCAACCCUGACGCAGCAACGCCGCGUGAUUGAAGAAGGCCUUCGGGUUGUAAAGAUCUUUAAUCAGGGACGAAAAAUGACGGUACCUGAAGAAUAAGCUCCGGCUAACUACGUGCCAGCAGCCGCGGUAAUACGUAGGGAGCAAGCGUUAUCCGGAUUUACUGGGUGUAAAGGGCGUAUAGCCGGGUCGGCAAGUCAGAUGUGAAAUCUGGAGGCUCAACCUCCAAACUGCAUUUGAAACUGUUGAUCUUGAGAAUCGGAGAGGUAAUCGGAAUUCCUAGUGUAGCGGUGAAAUGCGUAGAUAUUAGGAGGAACACCAGUGGCGAAGGCGGCUUGCUGGACAGUAACUGACGUUGAGGCUCGAAAGCGUGGGGAGCAAACAGGAUUAGAUACCCUGGUA
rnacentral:rRNA from 1 species